rnacentral:rRNA from 1 species
CCGACACCACUGGGAUAGCCUUUCGAAAGAAAGAUUAAUACCGGAUGGCAUAGUUUUCCCGCAUGGGAUAAUUAUUAAAGAAUUUCGGUUGUCGAUGGGGAUGCGUUCCAUUAGGCAGUUGGCGGGGUAACGGCCCACCAAACCUACGAUGGAUAGGGGUUCUGAGAGGAAGGUCCCCCACAUUGGAACUGAGACACGGUCCAGACUCCUACGGGAGGCAGCAGUGAGGAAUAUUGGUCAAUGGACGAGAGUCUGAACCAGCCAAGUAGCGUGAAGGAUGACUGCCCUAUGGGUUGUAAACUUCUUUUAUACGGGAAUAAAGUGAGCCACGUGUGGCUUUUUGUAUGUACCGUAUGAAUAAGGAUCGGCUAACUCCGUGCCAGCAGCCGCGGUAAUACGGAGGAUCCGAGCGUUAUCCGGAUUUAUUGGGUUUAAAGGGAGCGUAGGCGGGUUGUUAAGUCAGUUGUGAAAGUUUGCGGCUCAACCGUAAAAUUGCAGUUGAUACUGGCGACCUUGAGUGCGACAGAGGUAGGCGGAAUUCGUGGUGUAGCGGUGAAAUGCUUAGAUAUCACGAAGAACUCCGAUUGCGAAGGCAGCUUACUGGAUUGUAACUGACGCUGAUGCUCGAAAGUGUGGGUAUCAAACAGGAUUAGAUACCCUGGUAGUCCACACAGUAAACGAUGAAUACUCGCUGUUGGCGAUAUACGGUCAGCGGCC